rnacentral:misc_RNA from 1 species
GCAAUCUCACCUCUUCAACUUUUUGAUGGUUGACCAGUGUGGAUUUGGAUGUUGCCAUGUCACAAGUGGCUCGUCUGAAAAGCCUGAGUGUACCCUGUUUCUGUGGUGUAUUCGGUGUAAUAAACCUUCACCGGAGCUGAUUUUGAAUCGCACUCAUGUAACAGGCUCUAUGCUUCCAAUCGUCUCCUUGAGACAAUACUCUGACA